UGUGUUCGUAAUGUUGGAUAUCACGAUGCAUUGAAUAUUAAAAUUUUUUUUUAGAAGGAUAUAUUUUUGCUUAUGUCAUCACGCACAUUUUGACAAUCGUAUAUGAGAGUUCGCGUAGGUGCAAUCGGUCUUUGAAACCUCUUUAAGGUUCGUAGUCGCGAAUAACGAAUAACGAAAAUAGUUCAAAACUAAUAUAAACUGAGUCAUUGCAGUCAGUGCUAUGAAAAUGUGUACGAACCACAACUUGAAAAAUAUUAGUGAACUUUAAGAAGGCGAAAAAUGAAACCGGUUCGCGUACAAUAUUUCCACCUCUUUCAAUUUUAGAUUAAAUUCAGAUGUAAAUAGCACAAGCAGUUACAUAAACAAAAUAAACAGGAAAUAGCAUAAACAAGGAAAUGAAGAAUACUUUUCAGCAUCAUUAGAAGACCCAAAAAGUAUGACGAUUUAUGAAUAUUCUAAACGAUGGCAACUACGUACAAAGACAAAAGAGGAAAGUAAUGAAAAUUAGAUAUAACAGUGUCUUAUGUGCAAGUCAUCAAAUAGUUUUUUCUCGAGAUAGAGAUACCGUGUUUACGAGCCUACAUUUUUUCGUGCUGAUUUACCUAUAACAGAUCCAAAACAAGAAUAAUUAUACACAGACCUAUAUGAUCAACGUAUGUUGUCAAGCAACCUUGUAUAUCGGUGUAACUUUUUGAUAAAUACUUUUAAUUAGCUCGAAUUAUUUCUUUUUUGUAAUACAGAAAGCUAACAGUUUUGCCACAAGUAACAUUGUUGGCAACAUCAAUUUGCUUGUUUGACACUUCUAAAUUUGCACUCCUUCAUUUUUCAUUACAGUUAUAUACUUAGGACACUUUUACUGUAAUAUAUAGUCUGCAUUACUUUCGUUUUUUUUUUUGCAUGUGUACGUUGUAACCUUUGUUUAAAAUAUUUGUUCGAAUGAUGUUACUUUAUUUAUCAGGACACCGAUAAAUAAGAUCAGGCAUAUACUAUAUGCUUAUUCUAGUUACAAGUUUGUGUGUAAAAACCUGACAUGUACCUGUAGAGUCAAAACUAUUGUUAAAGUUUAGGCAGACCUAUGAUAUUGAUAAUCCGGAUAUAUCAAGAUUAUACUUAAUCAGAGGCCCAAAAUUAAACAUUGAAAAUAAUAAACAAUCAAUCCCUAGACUUACCGGAUAUUAUAACCUCACUGUCUUAUUGCAAAAUACAUUAUAUAUCGGAGCCCAAUAUGGCUAUCGAUAUCUUUUAUAAAUUAAAGGCAUCACCGUUUUGAAUAAAGUAAAAUAAAUCAAUCACGUCGUUUUAACAUUUAAUAACAAACGUCUCGCAUUGAUUGUAACAUAGUAGUAAAAAUAACCAAUACCUGAUUCGUAAUACUGCGGGUUCGUCGAUUUUCUGCAACUCGUUUAAAUAUUUUUCCCCUUGAUACUUACAAAAAUAGCAAUGAUCUACCGUAAAAUCUAACCUUUUUAUAUAUAUUCUAUAUCAAAUAGCGGUCAAACAGAAAAAAAAUCGUUAC